rnacentral:rRNA from 1 species
AUUGGAGGGCAAGUCUGGUGCCAGCAGCCGCGGUAAUUCCAGCUCCAAUAGCGUAUAUUAAAGUUGUUGCAGUUAAAAAGCUCGUAGUUGGAUUUCUGUUAAUAAUUUAUAUAAAAUAUUUUGAUGAAUAUUUAUAUAAUAUUAACAUAAUUCAUAUUACUAUAUAUUUUAGUAUAUGAAAUUUUACUUUGAGAAAAUUAGAGUGCUUAAAGCAGGCAUAUGCCUUGAAUACUCCAGCAUGGAAUAAUAUUAAAGAUUUUUAUCUUUCUUAUUGGUUCUAAGAUAAGAAUAAUGAUUAAUAGGGACAGUUGGGGGCAUUUGUAUUUAACAGUCAGAGGUGAAAUUCUUAGAUUUGUUAAAGACAAACUAAUGCGAAAGCAUUUGCCAAGGAUGUUUUCAUUAAUCAAGAACGAAAGUUAGGGGAUCGAAGACGAUCAGAUACCGUCGUAGUCUUAACCAUAAACUAUGCCAACUAGAGAUUGGAGGUUGUUCCUUACUCCUUCA